GAGGUUAAGCGACUAAGCGUACACGGUGGAUGCCCUGGCAGUCAGAGGCGAUGAAGGACGUGCUAAUCUGCGAUAAGCGUCGGUAAGGUGAUAUGAACCGUUAUAACCGGCGAUUUCCGAAUGGGGAAACCCAGUGUGAUUCAUCACACUAUCAUUACGUGAAUACAUAGCGUAAUGAAGCGAACCGGGGGAACUGAAACAUCUAAGUACCCCGAGGAAAAGAAAUCAACCGAGAUUCCCCCAGUAGCGGCGAGCGAACGGGGAGCAGCCCAGAGUCUGAAUCAGCAUGUGUGGUAGUGGAACGGUCUGGAAAGUCCGACGGUACAGGGUGAUAGUCCCGUACACAAAAGUGCAUGUGUUGUGAACUCGAAGAGUAGGGCGGGACACGUGGUAUCCUGUCUGAAUAUGGGGGGACCAUCCUCCAAGGCUAAAUACUCCUGACUGACCGAUAGUGAACCAGUACCGUGAGGGAAAGGCGAAAAGAACCCCGGCGAGGGGAGUGAAAAAGAACCUGAAACCGUGUACGUACAAGCAGUGGGAGCCUCUUUAUGGGGUGACUGCGUACCUUUUGUAUAAUGGGUCAGCGACUUAUAUUCUGUAGCAAGGUUAACCGAAUAGGGGAGCCGAAGGGAAACCGAGUCUUAACUGGGCGUUAAGUUGCAGGGUAUAGACCCGAAACCCGGUGAUCUAGCCAUGGGCAGGUUGAAGGUUGGGUAACACUAACUGGAGGACCGAACCGACUAAUGUUGAAAAAUUAGCGGAUGACUUGUGGCUGGGGGUGAAAGGCCAAUCAAACCGGGAGAUAGCUGGUUCUCCCCGAAAGCUAUUUAGGUAGCGCCUCGUGAAUUCAUCUUCGGGGGUAGAGCACUGUUUCGGCUAGGGGGUCAUCCCGACUUACCAACCCGAUGCAAACUGCGAAUACCGAAGAAUGUUAUCACGGGAGACACACGGCGGGUGCUAACGUCCGUCGUGAAGAGGGAAACAACCCAGACCGCCAGCUAAGGUCCCAAAGUCAUGGUUAAGUGGGAAACGAUGUGGGAAGGCACAGACAGCCAGGAUGUUGGCUUAGAAGCAGCCAUCAUUUAAAGAAAGCGUAAUAGCUCACUGGUCGAGUCGGCCUGCGCGGAAGAUGUAACGGGGCUAAACCAUGCACCGAAGCUGCGGCAGCGACACUAUGUGUUGUUGGGUAGGGGAGCGUUCUGUAAGCCGUUGAAGGUGGCCUGUGAGGGUUGCUGGAGGUAUCAGAAGUGCGAAUGCUGACAUAAGUAACGAUAAUGCGGGUGAAAAACCCGCACGCCGGAAGACCAAGGGUUCCUGUCCAACGUUAAUCGGGGCAGGGUGAGUCGACCCCUAAGGCGAGGCCGAAAGGCGUAGUCGAUGGGAAACAGGUUAAUAUUCCUGUACUUGGUGUUACUGCGAAGGGGGGACGGAGAAGGCUAUGUUAGCCGGGCGACGGUUUGUCCCGUUUAAGCAUGUAGGCGGAGAUUCCAGGUAAAUCCGGAGUCUUGCUAAACGCUGAGGUGUGAUGACGAGGCACUACGGUGCUGAAAGUAACAAAUGCCCUGCUUCCAGAAAAGCCUCUAAGCAUCAGGUAACACAAAAUCGUACCCCAAACCGACACAGGUGGUCAGGUAGAGAAUACCAAGGCGCUUGAGAGAACUCGGGUGAAGGAACUAGGCAAAAUGGUGCCGUAACUUCGGGAGAAGGGCACGCUGAUAUGUAGUGAAGUGAUUUACUCAUGGAGCUGAAAUCAGUCGAAGAUACCAGCUGGCUGCAACUGUUUAUUAAAAACACAGCACUGUGCAAACACGAAAGUGGACGUAUACGGUGUGACGCCUGCCCGGUGCCGGAAGGUUAAUUGAUGGGGUUAUCCGUAAGGAGAAGCUCUUGAUCGAAGCCCCGGUAAACGGCGGCCGUAACUAUAACGGUCCUAAGGUAGCGAAAUUCCUUGUCGGGUAAGUUCCGACCUGCACGAAUGGCGUAAUGAUGGCCAGGCUGUCUCCACCCGAGACUCAGUGAAAUUGAACUCGCUGUGAAGAUGCAGUGUACC
rnacentral:rRNA from 1 species